CCUCGGGGAGAUUUUAGCUCAGUCUUAAAUGGAAAGAAAUAAAGUGAUGGCAGUCCCAUUUAUAUACACCAAACACUCUCCCCUUAAAUUAUACAUAAUUUGAAAUGAAUCCAUGAUAGAGCUCUUAUAAAGUUUAAUCCUUCUCCCAUAUUUUUUAAGAUAGUCAAUUUACUUGUUGCUGCUAAAUUGAUAAUUUUUAAAAAAUAUUUCUUUCUAUGUGUUUUAAAAUGUAUGAUCACCCAGUAUGACAAUAACUUUUGGAAUCUUUACUUUUUACAUUUUUUUAAGUAAAAAUUGUUUAAACUUUCUGAAGUUUCAGGAACUUGUAAAAGUUUACUAACAGGAAAGAAACGGCCGUCUAUCUAGGAUAAGAUACGGUUAAAUAAACCAUCUUCCAAAAACUGGCUUCCUACCCUAGAAUUCCUGAGAAUGCUUGCAAAUUUU
rnacentral:lncRNA from 1 species